GAGCUCCUCUGGGAGCUGGGCUCCCCUGCAGCCCCCCUCCCCGCAGGGCCUCCUCCCAGAGAAGGAAGUGCCCAGCCCAGCCAUGCGCCGCAAGGCUCCAGGGAACACUGGGGGAUUGUGCAGCCCGAGCCCCUUGGUCACCAUGGGGCUGCCGGGGAGGAAGUGCUUGUUCUGAGUUGCUGGCUGGCCGGGCUGGGCCCUCAGACUUUCCGUCCUGCCCAUCACACUCCCAGCCAUUCCCCGGGGAGGGCAGCGGCCUCACCACCAGAGCUUCCAGAGCAGCCCUCACGAAGCAGGGAUGGAAGCUCCAGGACUCAGGACCCUCCAAGACCUUGCCCUCUGUGUCUAUCAAACUGCUUGUUCAUCUGCAUCCCUCCUUGUCACAUGGCUUCAAAGUCAGGGACAUCUGGUCUCCAUGGGCCCCGAGUGGGGAAGGAAGAGGCACCUGGAGGGUCUUGUCUGAAAGUGGCUGACAUCACCCUGCCACAUCACUGCCUGAACUCAUCGGGGGAAUACAGCCCCUCCCCAGGAGGAGGAAGCGCACAGAGGUGCGUCCUUUACCGCUCAGCCAUUAAAUCCAUGGAGUCAGUCAUCACAUUUCGGGAGGGGCCCCUAACGUGUGCCAGGCAUUAUGCUGAAUGUAGAGCUACAGAGACGUCCGUGUCCUCGUUGAAGUUCAGAUGUGUGUCAACGUACAAACUGGUGCAGCGUUACAGUCCUGCGGGGGCAGCAGAGAGGCAUCACGCCCAGCCUGGGCGAGGGGCGGGCAGUCUUGAGCAAGCAAGCAGUCCACACCAACUCUGAAAAACCGUGUUUGCUGACAUAUACACGCUUGUGUUUUUGAGAAAUGUAACUGAUGUAAAGGAUGGGUUACACACGAUUUACAAACAAUGCUUAAAAUACACAAUACAGGCUCACCUCAGGGAUAUCAAGAGCUUGGUUCUAGAUGCCAAAAUAAAGCACAUAUGGCACUAAAGUGAAUCACGUGGUUUUUUUGGUUUCCUGGUACAUAUAAAACUUAUGC